ACGGUGCUGAAGCAACAAAUGCCCUGCUUCCAGGAAAAGCCUCUAAGCAUCAGGUAACAUCAAAUCGUACCCCAAACCGACACAGGUGGUCAGGUAGAGAAUACCAAGGCGCUUGAGAGAACUCGGGUGAAGGAACUAGGCAAAAUGGUGCCGUAACUUCGGGAGAAGGCACGCUGACACGUAGGUGAAGUGAUUUACUCAUGGAGCUGAAGUCAGUCGAAGAUACCAGCUGGCUGCAACUGUUUAUUAAAAACACAGCACUGUGCAAACACGAAAGUGGACGUAUACGGUGUGACGCCUGCCCGGUGCCGGAAGGUUAAUUGAUGGGGUCAGCGCAAGCGAAGCUCCUGAUCGAAGCCCCGGUAAACGGCGGCCGUAACUAUAACGGUCCUAAGGUAGCGAAAUUCCUUGUCGGGUAAGUUCCGACCUGCACGAAUGGCGUAAUGAUGGCCAGGCUGUCUCCACCCGAGACUCAGUGAAAUUGAACUCGCUGUGAAGAUGCAGUGUACCCGCGGCAAGACGGAAAGACCCCGUGAACCUUUACUAUAGCUUGACACUGAACAUUGAGCCUUGAUGUGUAGGAUAGGUGGGAGGCUUUGAAGUGUGGACGCCAGUCUGCAUGGAGCCGACCUUGAAAUACCACCCUUUAAUGUUUGAUGUUCUAACGUGGACCCGUGAUCCGGGUUGCGGACAGUGUCUGGUGGGUAGUUUGACUGGGGCGGUCUCCUCCUAAAGAGUAACGGAGGAGCACGAAGGUUGGCUAAUCCUGGUCGGACAUCAGGAGGUUAGUGCAAUGGCAUAAGCCAGCUUGACUGCGAGCGUGACGGCGCGAGCAGGUGCGAAAGCAGGUCAUAGUGAUCCGGUGGUUCUGAAUGGAAGGGCCAUCGCUCAACGGAUAAAAGGUACUCCGGGGAUAACAGGCUGAUACCGCCCAAGAGUUCAUAUCGACGGCGGUGUUUGGCACCUCGAUGUCGGCUCAUCACAUCCUGGGGCUGAAGUAGGUCCCAAGGGUAUGGCUGUUCGCCAUUUAAAGUGGUACGCGAGCUGGGUUUAGAACGUCGUGAGACAGUUCGGUCCCUAUCUGCCGUGGGCGCUGGAGAACUGAGGGGGGCUGCUCCUAGUACGAGAGGACCGGAGUGGACGCAUCACUGGUGUUCGGGUUGUCAUGCCAAUGGCACUGCCCGGUAGCUAAAUGCGGAAGAGAUAAGUGCUGAAAGCAUCUAAGCACGAAACUUGCCCCGAGAUGAGUUCUCCCUGAGACUUUAGGUCUCCUGAAGGAACGUUGAAGACGACGACGUUGAUAGGCCGGGUGUGUAAGCGCAGCGAUGCGUUGAGCUAACCGGUACUAAUGAACCGUGAGGCUUAACCUUACA
rnacentral:rRNA from 1 species